CGAGGGUGCGAACGUUGCUCGGAUUUACUGGGCGUAAAGCGCGUGUAGGCGGACUCGCAAGUCGGUUGUGAAAUCCCUGGGCUCAGCCUAGGAACUGCAUCCGAAACUGCUUGUCUUGAGUAAUGGAGAGGGUGGCGGAAUUCCCGGUGUAGAGGUGAAAUUCGUAGAUAUCGGGAGGAACAUUAGUGGCGAAGGCGGCCACCUGGACAUUUACUGACGCUGAGACGCGAAAGCGUGGGGAGCAAACAGGAUUAGAUACCCGAGUAGUCC
rnacentral:rRNA from 1 species